rnacentral:lncRNA from 1 species
UUGAUACUAUCUUUGUCACUAGUAUCUUUAAAACCCGCUGCUCGAUCUCUUUCUCUUUCCUUUCUUAAUUCAAGAACUUCAGCUUUUAAUGCUUCCAAAGUUUGCUGCAGUUCUUAUUGCUAGGAGUCUUUUGUUUUUUAAUAUUCAAGGAUUUUUGAGUGAUCCCAAAUCCCUUGCCCCUCACCCGACCAGAAUACUCGGGAACAUCUAAUGCUCGACUCAGUAUGCUCCUGCAAUCAGUGUCUUCAUAUGGAACUAUAGAUUGAGAUAGAGUCUCCUGAAA